AAAAUUACAAUUGAGCUCAACUCACCAAUUUGUAUACUAGGGAUUGAAUCUUUCUGUUGAUUGCAAAGAGGACUGAUUUCCAGUUCAAAUUUCUGUUCAAGAUCACCUAAGAAGAAAGAAGAAGAAACACAUUGGACACCCCCAAUGGAGCUUUGCACAUAGGAAAAUCACAGCUUUGCUGAGGAUUAGACAAGGCUGGAAGCAGAUGUUCAAUGAAAACUUCUGGGAAUCUUGGUUGACUGAGAAGAUACCAAUAUGUUGUUACCAAAGGACAGAAAU